rnacentral:rRNA from 1 species
CCUACGGGUGGCAGCAGUGAGGAAUAUUGGUCAAUGGGCGCGAGCCUGAACCAGCCAAGUCGCGUGAGGGAAGACGGCCCUACGGGUUGUAAACCUCUUUUGCCGGGGAGCAACGGGCGCCACGUGUGGCGCCCCUGAGAGUACCCGGAGACAAAGCAUCGGCUAACCCCGUGCCAGCAGCCGCGGUAAUACGGAGGAUGCGAGGUUAUUCCGGAUUUAUUGGGUUUAAAGGGUGCGUAGGCGGAGCGUUAAGUCAGUGGUCAAAUUGAGGGGCUCAACCCCUGCCCGCCAUUGAAACUGGCGCUCUUGAGUGGAAGAGAAGUAUGCGGAAUGCGUGGUGUAGCGGUGAAAUGCAUAGAUAUCACGCAGAACCCCGAUUGCGAAGGCAGCAUGCCGGCUUCCGACUGACGCUGAAGCACGAAAGCGUGGGGAUCGAACAGGAUUAGAUACCCUUGUAGUC